rnacentral:rRNA from 1 species
AGUCAACAUGCCCAGAGGACGUGGAUAACCUCGGGAAACUGAGGAUAAACCGCGAUAGGUCAUAAUUACUGGAAUGUGUUAUGGCCCAAAUCUAUAUGGCCUCUGGAUUGGACUGCGGCCGAUCAGGCUGUUGGUGAGGUAAUGGCCCACCAAACCUUUUACCGGUACGGGCUCUGAGAGGAGGAGCCCGGAGAUGGGCACUGAGACAAGGGCCCAGGCCCUAUGGGGCGCAGCAGGCGCGAAACCUCUGCAAUAGGCGAAAGCCUGACAGGGUUACUCUGAGUGAUUCCCGCUAAGGGAAUCUUUUGGCAUCUCUAAAAAUGGUGCAGAAUAAGGGGUGGGCAAGUCUGGUGUCAGCCGCCGCGGUAAUACCAGCACCCCGAGUGGUCGGGACGAUUAUUGGGCCUAAAGCAUCCGUAGCCGGUCUUGCAAGUCUUCCGUUAAAUCCAGCUGCUUAACAGAUGGGCUGCGGAGGAUACUACAAGGCUAGGAGGCGGGAGAGGCAAGCGGUACUCAGUGGGUAGGGGUAAAAUCCAUUGAUCCAUUGAAGACCACCAGUGGCGAAGGCGGCUUGCCAGAACGCGCUCGACGGUGAGGGAUGAAAGCUGGGGGAGCAAACCGGAUUAGAUACCCGGGUAGUCCCAGCUGUAAACGAUGCAGACUCGGUGAUGAAUUGGCUUAUUGCUAAUUCAGUGCCGCAGGGAAGCCGUUAAGUUUGCCGCCUGGGGAGUACGGUCGCAAGACUGAAACUUAA